rnacentral:rRNA from 1 species
UACGGAGGGGGUUGAGCGUUGUUCGGAAUUACUGGGCGUAAAGCGCGCGUAGGCGGACCAGAAAGUUGGGGGUGAAAUCCCGGGGCUCAACCCCGGAACGGCCUCCAAAACUCCUGGUCUUGAGUUCGAGAGAGGUGAGUGGAAUUCCGAGUGUAGAGGUGAAAUUCGUAGAUAUUCGGAGGAACACCAGUGGCGAAGGCGGCUCACUGGCUCGAUACUGACGCUGAGGUGCGNNAGUGUGNGGAGCAAACAUU